GGUUUAAUUCGAAGCAACGCGAAGAACCUUACCAGGUCUUGACAUCCUUUGACCACUCUGGAGACAGAGCUUUCCCUUCGGGGACAAAGUGACAGGUGGUGCAUGGUUGUCGUCAGCUCGUGUCGUGAGAUGUUGGGUUAAGUCCCGCAACGAGCGCAACCCUUGAUUUUAGUUGCCAGCAUUUAGUUGGGCACUCUAAAGUGACUGCCGGUGCAAGCCGGAGGAAGGUGGGGAUGACGUCAAAUCAUCAUGCCCCUUAUGACCUGGGCUACACACGUGCUACAAUGGAUAGUACAAAGGGUCGCGAAGCCGCGAGGUGGAGCUAAUCCCAUAAAACUAUUCUCAGUUCGGAUUGUAGGCUGCAACUCGCCUACAUGAAGCCGGAAUCGCUAGUAAUCGUGGAUCAGCAUGCCACGGUGAAUACGUUCCCGGGCCUUGU
rnacentral:rRNA from 1 species